GACGGAGGGUGCUAGCGUUGUUCGGAAUGACUGGGCGUAAAGGGCGCGUAGGCGGCCGCUUGCGUCGGAUGUGAAAGCCCGGGGCUCAACCCCGGAACGGCAUCCGAUACGGGGCGGCUCGAGACCGAGAGAGGUGAGUGGAAUACCCAGUGUAGAGGUGAAAUUCGUAGAUAUCGAGAGGAACACCGGUGGCGAAGGCGGCCUUCUGGACAGCAACUGACGCUGAGACGCGAAAGCGUGGGGAGCAAACAGG
rnacentral:rRNA from 1 species